rnacentral:rRNA from 1 species
GACGAACGCUGGCGGCGUGCUUAACACAUGCAAGUCGAACGGAAAGGCCCUGCUUUUGUGGGGUGCUCGAGUGGCGAACGGGUGAGUAACACGUGAGUAACCUGCCCUUGACUUUGGGAUAACUUCAGGAAACUGGGGCUAAUACCGGAUAGGAGCUCCUGCUGCAUGGUGGGGGUUGGAAAGUUUCGGCGGUUGGGGAUGGACUCGCGGCUUAUCAGCUUGUUGGUGGGGUAGUGGCUUACCCAGGCUUUGACGGGUAGCCGGCCUGAGAGGGUGACCGGCCACAUUGGGACUGAGAUACGGCCCAGACUCCUACGGGAGGCAGCAGGGGGGAAUAUGGCACAAUGGGCGGAAGCCUGAUGCAGCAACGCCGCGUGCGGGAUGACGGCCUUCGGGUUGUAAACCGCUUUCGCCUGUGACGAAGCGUGAGUGACGGUAAUGGGUAAAGAAGCACCGGCUAACUACGUG